rnacentral:rRNA from 1 species
AUGGCGGCGCAAGAGCAGGAGCAGCAGGCCAAGACGAGCACCACCAGCUCGCUGCCGUCCAGCAGCGACCGCUCCUCCAGCUCCGGCCCCAACAACCUCAAGAAAGGAGGCGCGGAGAGCGACGAGGAGAUACGGCGGGUGCCGGAGAUGGGCGGCGGGUCGGCGUCGUCGGGCGCGGGGGACGGCAAGCAGCUGCAGCUGGCGGCGGCCGGGGGUGGGCAGGCCCCGGCGGGGAAGAAGCGCGGGCGCGCCGCCGGGGACAAGGAGCAGAACCGGCUGAAGCGGCUGCUGCGGAACCGCGUGUCGGCGCAGCAGGCCCGCGAGCGGAAGAAGGCCUACAUGACGGAGCUGGAGGUGAAGGCCAAGGACCUCGAGCUCCGCAAUGCCGAGCUGGAGCAGAAGGUCUCCACCCUCCAGAACGAGAACAACACGCUCCGCCAGGUACCAUACCUUAGCCUAGAUCCUCCCAGCAGAAUUGUCUUUCUUGUCACUGGCCAUGGCGAUACUGAAUCUUGCAUGCGCGUGUGUGUGCAGAUACUGAAGAACACGACGGCGCACGCCGGGAAGAAGCCGAGCGGCGGCAAGGGGGGAGACGGCGGCAAGAAGCACCACCACUUCGGCAAGGGCUAG